AUGCAGCAGGUUUCCAUCACCCACUGGAUCUUUGUUCCGCUAAAGUCCCUUCAGAUUUCUAAAAGAAAUCAAUCAAACUAGUAAUAUCUGUUUGUGGGGAAAUGUCUGGCCUCAUAAUUUAUCACAUUUUAUUUUAGAAGUUUAAUUAGAUGGAUCACAUCAAUGGUAAACCAUCAGUUACAAGUGUGAGAUGCAAAACGGUAACAACAGGUCUAAGCUCUGCGUGUGUCAUUCGGUUACUCGAUCUUUCAGCUGUGAGAAAUGACUGGCAGGGGGACAGUCACACCUCACUGUGGUCCCCAAAGAGCACUGUUAUGACUGAGGCCCAAUCCACCAUGACAGGCCAGGCAUGACCUUUAGACCUACAAGACAUUACUGGAGCAUCUGAGCAUGUCAGCAUCGGAGGGUGGAGGCUAGGAGAAUGUUUGGGGUGAUGAAAGGGAGGGUGAUGUGGAGAGACAUUCAAGGCUGGUGUGGGGGAUGGCUGCAGGGCGUGGUGUCUUUGGGGGACUCACAGAGGUCAAGCGGUACUGGUGGUUAUUAAAGGAGACCCCAUAAAAUGCUCUCCGGGUCCAUGAUUACACUGUCAGGCGGUAAGAAAGAGGAUGCAUGGGGGAGGAGAUGCAGGGGGAUAUCUCAAAGAUAAAAGCCACAUUUUUCUCUGAAGAGGUCCUUUGAACAUAAGUGUGAAGUGGAAUUUGUGAUUUAAGUCCAUAAUUCACACAACUGGCAGAUAUUUAAGGCAGUAAAAUGGUAUUCCAGUCAUCCAAUAUCCAAUAUACAGAAGCAGUGGAUAGAUGGAUUGGGCAGAUGAAAGUGUGACACAUUUCCCCUUCAACGGUCGCGAAGGACGUUGAUAGGCAACCAAACCCUCGGGCAAUGGACUGCUGAUUUUUUUUCCCUCUGUGAAAUAUAAAUGCAUGCAAUCUAUUCUGCUGUCAAAGGCCCAUGAUCCGCGGAAGGCAGUUUGACACGGUCACUGGGAAAGGGCUUUAGGCAAACAACCACUGAGACGCCAUAUGGACAUGGAGUUAAAGAAUUAUUUCACACUGCUACAAUAUGGGACAAUGAGAUGAAAUUCAAACCAAGAUUAGCUUUCAGUUCAUUAACUGCACGUGUUAAUCCGUCAGGAAUGAUUAGGGCAGCAAAGGCAGCGCAGUUAUUAUCAGUUGAAUAGAAUCAAAACAGAGAUUUUAACUGCAACUUGUUGACUACAUUGUUUCGCCAAAUGUUGUGACCGCACCUCCAUGUGUUUAAAAACCUUGCUAAAUGCAAACGAGUAGCAGUGGAUGAUAGAAAAAAGUUGACUGAUAGACAUUUUCAAACAAUUGUAUUUGUUGUUAAAAAAAGAAAAUAACAUGACCUGCAUCCUAGAAACCCAAACCCGGGGGAAAACUGGUGAGUGGGCUGUGGAUUUCUUUGAAAGGCAUAGUUUGACAUUGUGGCAAAUACACUUUGAUUCUUCUCAUGCCAUUGUUGUAUGUUUCCAUUCAAGGUUAAGAUGUAUCCAGGAGACUGUCAACUUACUGUACCUCCAGUGUGUGUUUUAGUUUUUGCUUUCUCACUCCUAAUCACUCGUUAUCCAGAAGUGAGCUGUGCAGUAUUCUAGUAAGUGUCACGGAGUUCACCGAGGAGAAUGUGAUAUGUCAGAGUCUGGCUGUGUGGUGGCACUGUGGGACAGGCUAGUGUUUCUGCAGAUGUGAAGGGGAGUUUGAGGACAGUUGGGUUUCUGGUAGAAAACAGGCUAUAAAUACAGAGAGCGCCAACAGAAACCCAGACCGAGUCCACUGGGAGAGAGACUCAACCUGCACAUAGCACUUACAGAGACACUGCUGUAGCACUGAGGCCGGAGAAGCUUCGUUGUUUAACUUUAUUAGGAUUGUAUCCAGUGCUCAGGAAAUUUUAUGCACCUUUUACAUUAUUUAUAGACUCUGCUCAUGCUACAUUGUAGCCACACCACAUUUUCUAGCUUGAUUUAAACACAGAAUUGUGGUCCAGUAAAAUCCAUUUGGCAUCACAGUGGUAUACCAGAACAGAUUCAGGACCACUUUUAACAAAUGGUUUCAUACUUGUAAGCGUGGGAGACUGAUGGCAACAGCUUAGGCACACCGUGUUUCAGACUACGUGACUUAGAAAUUACAAUGAAGGCCAACCACUGGUGGUAUUUUAAUGAUUAUGCAUUUUGGUCACCCCAGGGAGCGGUGCAUUUAUGCUUAUGGGCCAGCAUGUACAGGCGGGGGAAUAGAGGGGGUUUGAUGCUGAAUUGACUUUCUUAUAGCACACCCUCUGAAAUCAUCAGUCAUUUUGACUGGCAGUGUUUUGUGUUAAUGUUUAUUCCUGUUCAGUAGCCUUCUGCCUCACGGAUGUUCCACCCAUGGACUGUAUUCCACCAGCGUGUUCCUUCCUGCCUGGAAAUUAUGUUGUGAUCUCUCACUGCCAAAGGAGACAGUGCCACUCAGUGAUGCGUGUGUCCUCUCUUUUCCAAUGGCGGCAGGGGUACAGCUGUAACUGAAUCCUCUAACCUGUGCUAGGCAGCAGUGCACAAGCAUCCUUUACCAACACACACAGUGUGUAAUUUCCUAAUAUCGUUCUGAAUCUGGCUCGAGAUAAGACAGUAACAGCAGAGUCAACAUCAAUCUUCAGGGUUGAGUGUCUCUGUUGGUGGUUUUUACUUGAAUGAAAACAUCUCCGUGCAUCCCUCUAUAAACAUUAUUAAAAAGGAAGUGCAUCUCAA